UUUACCUAAUAAUAAAAAAAUUAUUAAUUAUCUUCCUAUACCCAGCACUAUAAAAAUUAUUAAAGUGUGUAACAUUAUUCAUUAUCACUGUGUACUUAUUAAAAGUCACAGCAUAUCUUAGCAUUUUGACAUAAAGUCCUUAGUUAAGGACUACAUGAUAUUAUAGAUGCGAAGGAUGGAAGUGUCCAGAAAAUCUCGUUUGUAAAGAUUCUGAAGUUCUGGUUAAAAAUGGAAGUUACUGCCGCUGUUGCGAUGACUGCUAUAAAAAAAAAUAUGAAGGCGAAAUUUGCGCUUGCACGGAGAACUGUUGGGGUGUACGCUAUCCAUUACCACUAAAAUGUGUAGACGGAUUAGAGUGUAUCAAAGGAAAAUCCACCAAAGUCUCUUCAUCGAUCCAUUAACUAUGAACUUAAAUUUUUGUGUAGAUGAAUAAAAGUGAUAAAAAUGA